CACGGGUGCUUGCACCUGGUGGCGAGUGGCGAACGGGUGAGUAAUAUAUCGGAACGUACCUUAUCGUGGGGGAUAACGCAGCGAAAGCUGCGCUAAUACCGCAUACGCCCUGAGGGGGAAAGCGGGGGACCGUAAGGCCUCGCGCGAUUAGAGCGGCCGAUAUCUGAUUAGCUUGUUGGUGGGGUAAAAGCCCACCAAGGCGACGAUCAGUAGCUGGUCUGAGAGGACGAUCAGCCACACUGGGACUGAGACACGGCCCAGACUCCUACGGGAGGCAGCAGUGGGGAAUUUUGGACAAUGGGGGCAACCCUGAUCCAGCAAUGCCGCGUGAGUGAAGAAGGCCUUCGGGUUGUAAAGCUCUUUUGUCAGGGAAGAAACAGCAGCUCUAACACAGUCUGCGAAUGACGGUACCUGAAGAAUAAGCACCGGCUAACUACGUGCCAGCAGCCGCGGUAAUACGUAGGGUGCAAGCGUUAAUCGGAAUUACUGGGCGUAAAGCGUGCGCAGGCGGUUAUACAAGACAGGCGUGAAAUCCCCGGGCUUAACCUGGGAAUGGCGUCUGCGACUGUAUGACUAGAGUGUGUCAGANGGGGGUAGAAAUU
rnacentral:rRNA from 1 species